rnacentral:rRNA from 1 species
AUACGGAGGGUGCAAGCGUUAAUCGGAAUUACUGGGCGUAAAGCGUGCGUAGGCGGUUUAUUAAGUCAGAUGUGAAAGCCCCGGGCUUAACCUGGGAACUGCAUUUGAUACUGGCAGACUAGAGUAUGAUAGAGGGGGGUAGAAUUCCUGGUGUAGCGGUGAAAUGCGUAGAUAUCAGGAGGAAUACCAGUGGCGAAGGCGGCCCCCUGGAUCAAUACUGACGCUGAGGUACGAAAGCGUGGGGAGCGAACAGGAUUAGAAACCCCAGUAGUCC